GUGCACCAGUCGCGAAAACUUCACAAUGUGCGAAAGCACGAUGAGGGAAUCCCAAGUGCUUGCACGUAAGUGUAAGCUGUUUCUCUGUCUAAAACGCAGAGAGAGUAAGGGCUAGGGUAAGACGGGUGCCAGCCGCCGCGGUAAUACCUGCAGCUCGAGUGGUGACCGUUAUUAUUGGGCCUAAAACGUCCGUAGCCGGUUUAAUAAAUGCCUGGGUAAACCGGACCGCUUAACGGUUCGAAUUCCGGGUAGACUGUUAAACUUGAGACCGGGAGAAGUUAGAGGUACUCCUGGGGUAGAGGUGAAAUUCUGUAAUCCUAGGGGGACCACCAGUGGCGAAGGCGUCUAACUAGAACGGGUCUGACGGUGAGGGACGAAGCCCUGGGGCGCAAACGGGGAUUAGAUACCCGUGUAGU
rnacentral:rRNA from 1 species